rnacentral:lncRNA from 1 species
CAGAGAGCCGCCACACCGUUUUCUUUAAAGGUUGAGAUGGUCGCAGUCGCUGCGGUUUUUUCGGUUGUGAAUCAGAUCACCGGUCCGAGUAUAGUUACGCCGCAGUUUUUUUUCUAGCACGACAGAGAGGAACGCGCUCAGUGGAGUGCCCUGUUUCCUCUUGAUCGGACGAGCACGAAUCUAAAUUCUCUUUCGCGACUUUCUUGUCUCUGCUUGGGGUAGCGACUUGACCGGAGAACGCAGCGUUCGGGUGCGGCCGAAGACGGGGGUUUCCGCCAACGUCACUGAAGAGUUUAAAAGAGGUUCAACACAACGUAGGUUGUGAGGAGAGAGAAUAGGGGCAAGACGCCCAAAAGCGUUUGUUUCACCUCUCCGCCUCUCCUGCGUUUUUCCCGAAAGGAGUUCUGACAAACAGCAGUGAAGCCUCACAGUCGAAAAGAGGCACCCACCUGUCCACGGUGGUGGUCCACCGGGAGGUUGUUUGACGACGGAUUGGACAGCGGAGAAAUGGAAGAGUUUUUCUUGAUACGGGCAACGCCUUGGUCGAUGUCGUUUCCGCGGAAGGCUGCUACGUGCACGGGGGGGACUGUGGAAGGGUGAGGAAUCUCUGCCGUAACUUUAUUUCCCCAGGCUGUCCAGUCGGCGACACCGUCGUGACUUCAAAACAGCAAACGCACGGAAGUUUUGUAGAUGGAAGUGCAUUCUCUCGAAGUGACCCGUGUAAUGCAGUUCCGCGGAUCACGGCCGCACGCUGUGGAGAAGGCCCAACUCUGUGAACGAUCUGUAGACUCGAGUCGAGCAACGGAACAAUGAAUUCCCAAAGGCAAGUGUGCCUUUCUCUGGAAUCCAGCUGUCGGCCGGUGCUACCUAGCAGGAGCCUGCAACGCCGGAAACUCUCGGGGCAUCGACGGGACGGGAAGAGUGUCGAGUCAGAGUUUUGCAGUUCCGCUUUCUGAACAGACGCGAUCUGUUUCCGUGUCGUGCCGCGGGUUGUGAGACUCCGUUUCACUACAAACGCAACAUGGUUUUUCACCAUAGAGCCAGAGAGAGGUGAUUUAAAAGCUCGAUCUACGAA